CUACCUCCUUUGUUCAAUUUUACAGCUCAAGAGAUGGCUGGUGCAACUGCAGAACUGCGGCAGCGUCUAAUUCCAGAGCAUGCAAGAAAAGAAGAGUGCUGAACCUGAGAUGGUGAUAUCUGUAGGUAAUGCAACUCAAUUUUUGGAUGCUUCGACAUCGAUGGAACCAAUCCUGCCUGCUCCAUUAGUUGAGGCUCGACCAUCUUUCAUCCCUCAUAUGGUUGGUUAAGGUAGAUAAUAGGAGAGUUUUGACAAAUUAAUAGCAGGUGGGUAUCCUGUCUGAGAGACUUUGUGGCGGAGAUGCAGAUUCCGGAUUCAGUCAAUGAGGAGGGUACUUGGCAAUGGGGUUCCAAGCUCCAAGAUUUAAUUUAAUUUAGAAUGUGGUGUGUAAUAUGGUUCAGUGAGUGUCAAAUGGGUUGUUCUAAUCAUGUUAUUAUGUUUCUUAUAUAUAGCGUGCGGGCAUUCGUUAAGAACAACUUAAAUGGAUCAUUAGAUUAAUUAGGAUGUCUCUGUACAUCCCACCUGGAUCCUUUAUGUGUUAUGGCAAAAUUCAAAUCUUCGGGUUUUAUGCCCUAUUUUUGUAACCAUUUUACUCUUUACUAUUAUUAUUAUUCUCGCCCG
rnacentral:misc_RNA from 1 species